rnacentral:tRNA from 1 species
CGAUCGGUAGCAUAGUGGUAGGGUGUAGUGUUGUUGGGGCUGUGGUCGUGGGUUCGAGUCCCAGAGGAGCCC